rnacentral:lncRNA from 1 species
UAUUGUCCUCCGAAUACACCCACGUGGAUAGGGGUAAAGUCGUAGAACCGACGCCUGGACUGCCAAAUUGCAAUUGUAUUUGACCAGCUGAAAGAAGUUCAUGUCUGGCCGCAUAUACUUUGUAGUGGCGGUUGAGAUGUGUAGUACCAAUUCCUUUUUGUCAUGUCAAUAUUUGUUGGCAGUAUGUAAAUACUACCUUAGAUUCUACAAGGCCAUCGACGACUUUUUCCGUUGAAAUCAACUUAAAGUGAUCACAACAUUUUGCUUGUUUUUGCCCUUUCA